rnacentral:rRNA from 1 species
GACGAACGCUGGCGGCGUGCUUAACACAUGCAAGUCGAACGAAGUGGCGAACGGGUGAGUAACGCGUAAUCAACCUGCCCUUCAGAGGGGGACAACAGUUGGAAACGACUGCUAAUACCGCAUACUGAAGGAGGGGAUUGCGUUGUAUUAGCUAGUAGGUAGGGUAAUGGCCUACCUAGGCAACGAUACAUAGCCGACCUGGGAGGGUGAUCGGCCACAUUGGGACUGAGACACGGCCCAGACUCCUACGGGAGGCAGCAGUGGGGAAUCUUCCGCAAUGGACGAAAGUCUGACGGAGCAACGCCGCGUGAGUGAUGACGGCCUUCGGGUUGUAAAGCUCUGUUAAUCGGGACGCGGUACCGGAAUAGAAAGCCACGGCUAACUACGUGCCAGCAGCCGCGGUAAUUC